UAACACGUGAGCAACCUGCCUACUACAACGGGAUAACACAAAGAAAUUUGUGCUAAUACGGUAUAAGACCACGGUACCGAAUGGUACAGGGGUAAAAGCGAUUUAGCGGUAGUAGAUGGGCUCGCGUCCCAUUAGUUAGUUGGUGAGGUAACGGCCCACCAAGACCGCGAUGGGUAGCCGACCUGAGAGGGUGAUCGGCCACACUGGGACUGAGACACGGCCCAGACUCCUACGGGAGGCAGCAGUGGGGAAUAUUGGGCAAUGGAGGAAACUCUUACCCAGCAAUGCCGCGUGAGUGAAGAAGGUCUUCGGAUUGUAAAGCUCUUUGAUUGGGGAUGAAAAAAUGACGGUACCCAAAGAACAAGCCCCGGCUAACUACGUGCCAGCAGCCGCGGUAAUACGUAGGGGGCGAGCGUUGUCCGGAAUGACUGGGCGUAAAGGGUGUGUAGGCGGUUUAUUAAGUUAGAAGUGAAAUACCUAGGGCUUAACCCAGGUGCUGCUUCUAAAACUGAUAGACUUGAGUGCAGUAGAGGAAAGUGGAAUUCCUAGUGUAGCGGUGGAAUGCGUAGAUAUUAGGAGGAACAUCAGUGGCGAAGGCGACUUUCUGGACUGUAACUGACGCUGAGGCACGAAAGUGUGGGGAGCAAACAGGAUUAGAUACCCUGGUAGUCCACGCUGUAAACGAUGAUUACUAGGUGU
rnacentral:rRNA from 1 species